rnacentral:rRNA from 1 species
GGACGAACGCUGGCGGCGUGCUUAACACAUGCAAGUCGAACGGUAAGGCCCUUCGGGGUACACGAGUGGCGAACGGGUGAGUAACACGUGGGUGAUCUGCCCUGCACUUCGGGAUAAGCCUGGGAAACUGGGUCUAAUACCGGAUAGGACCAUGGACUUCACGGUUUGUGGUGGAAAGCUUUUGCGGUGUGGGAUGGGCCCGCGGCCUAUCAGCUUGUUGGUGGGGGUAAUGGGCCUACCAAGGCGACGACGGGUAGCCGGCCUGAGAGGGUGUCCGGCCACACUGGGACUGAGAUACGGCCCAGACUCCUACGGGAGGCAGCAGUGGGGAAUAUUGCACAAUGGGCGCAAGCCUGAUGCAGCGACGCCGCGUGAGGGAUGACGGCCUUCGGGUUGUAAACCUCUUUCAAUAGGGACGAAGCGCAAGUGACGGUACCUAUAGAAGAAGCACCGGCCAACUACGUG